rnacentral:lncRNA from 1 species
GUUAUCUCUAAAGGUGUUGAUAUCUCUGCUGUUGAUGUAAGAGACUUAGCUCUAUCUGAUCAUUUCUGUGUCUUUUUUGACCUAGAGACUGUAACAUCUGUUCCCCCUAGUUAUGUGUGUUUAAAGAAAAGGUACAUAAAUGAGAACACAAGUGCACAGUUUAUGGAAGCCAUAGCAAUGACACCAACAUUGAGUGCUGAGACAGUUGAUGAUCUUCUGGAUGAGUAUAAUAGAAACGUCUGUAAUGUCAUAGAUGUGGUGGCUCCAAUCAAAACUAAGAGAAAACCAAACACACAGAAAACACCUUGGAGGAGGACUGAGAUAAUGCAGAAUUUGAAAUCUGACUGUAGAAGAGCUGAGCGUAAAUGGAGAUCAACAAAACUCCAAAUUCAUCUAGAACUGUACAAAAUAAGUCUGCGAAAAUUCAAUGAUGGCCUGUUCAAAGCAAGGCAGCAAUACUUUUCUGAAAUUAUUGCCAAAAAUGUCAACAACUCUCGCACGUUGUUUUCUGUAAUUGAAAAGCUCACAACCCCCCCAGAUCAGAUAGCCCCUGAAUUACUGUCAGCUGGAAAAUGCAAUGAAUUUGCUGUAUAUUUCAAUGAAAAAAUACAAUCAAUAAGGUCAAACAUCAGAACAAACCAGCAAAAUCACAAAAAGCUUGAACAGCUUCAACCACUGAGGGAUGAGUCAAUUACAAUGUUAGAGUUUAUUACAGUGAACCCAAAAACAAUAGAGGAGACUGUUCAGCAGCUGAAUCCAUCAACGUGUUGCCUUGACACAAUACCCUCAAACUUCUUUAAAACUGUUGUAAAGUCAAUUGUCACUGAUUUGUGUCAGAUAAUUAACUGCUCAUUCCAAUCAGGCACCGUACCAAAAUCCCUGAAAGUAGCUGCUGUGAAACCGCUGUUAAAAAAGAGAACACUGGAUGCCUCUAUACUGGCUAACUAUAGACCAAUCAGCAACCUUCCAUUCAUGGCCAAGAUCAUUGAGAAGGUGGUCUUCAACCAACUGAGUCAAUUCUUAACAUUCAACAAAAUAUUUGAUAAAUUUCAGUCAGGUUUUCGUUCUCAUCACAGCACUGAAACUGCUCUUAUCAAAGUGAUCAAUGACAUAAGGUUGAACACUGAUUCAGGAAAAGUAUCUGUU